CCAAAAACAUAGCCCCAGAACAAAUUUGAGGUGUAACCUGCCCAAUGAUUUUAAAUUAAAAAUACUUAAAAAUUAUUUAAUAAAAUUAAAAGGACGCGGUAACCUUGACCGUGAUAAUGUAGCAUAAUCAUUCGCCAUUUAAUUGAUGGAUAGUAUGAAUGGUCAAACGAAUAUUCCACUGUCUUAAAAAAAAAGCCACAAAAAUUAGAAUAAUAGUAAAGAUACUAUUUAAAAUUGUAAGACGAAAAGACCCUAUAGAGCUUAACUAUAAAUUUUUUUUUUUAGAAAAAUUGGUAGUUUAGUUGGGGCGACUAUCUUCUAAAAAUAACGAAGAUAAGCAAAUAUUAAUAAAAAAUUUACUGUACAAUAAAUCUAUUUAACAGUUACAAAAGUAGGCUAUAAUGACCCGUUACUAUUUUAUAAAAAACAUAACGAUUAAUAAAUAAAAGCUACCUUAGGGAUAACAGGAUAAUUUUAUUUUAGAGAUCUAAUCGAAAAUAAAGUUUGUCACCUCUAUGUUGAAUUAAGAUAUCCUGACGAUGCAGCAGUUGUCAAAGGUAGGUCUGUUCGACCUUUAAAA
rnacentral:rRNA from 1 species